rnacentral:rRNA from 1 species
UGGGGAAUAUUGCACAAUGGGCGCAAGCCUGAUGCAGCGACGCCGCGUGAGGGAUGACGGCCUUCGGGUUGUAAACCUUUGUUAGCAGGGAAGAAGAGAAAUUGACGGUACCUGCAGAGAAAGCGCCGGCUAACUACGUGCCAGCAGCCGCGGUAAUACGUAGGGCGCGAGCGUUGUCCGGAAUUAUUGGGCGUAAAGAGCUUGUAGGCGGUUUGUCGCGUUUGGUGUGAAAGUCCGGGGCUUAACCCCGGGUAUUGCAGUGGGUACGGGCAGACUAGAGUGCAGUAGGGGAGACUGGAAUUCCUGGUGUAGCGGUGGAAUGCGCAGAUAUCAGGAGGAACACCGAUGGCGAAGGCAGGUCUCUGGGCUGUAACUGACGCUG